rfam:Homo sapiens chromosome 3, GRCh38 reference primary assembly.
GCCAGGUGUGGUGGUGUGUGCCUGUAGUCCCAGCUACUUGGGAGGCUGAGGCAGGAGGAUUGCUUGAGCUCAGGAGUUCGAGGCUGCAGUGAGUUAUAAUUGCACCACUGUACUUCAGCCAGGGCAACAGAGCAAGACCCUGUCUCAA